GUCAGUGAUGCAGAUAUCAUAACUAGCUGAAAUGCGACUUUUCGCAUUUUUGUUGAAAAUUUUGAACUAGGACGGUCUGAGGC
rfam:Vigna angularis cultivar Jingnong 6 scaffold398_34, whole genome shotgun sequence.